AAUAUUGUGUUUUUAGAUUAGGCCAUGAAGAUAAUUGAAAGAGGCUGCUGUUCAGUCUUAUAUCAAAGCUCAUCUGUUAAAGGUUUAACAAUUACCCCAACAGGAACUUAAGAGUCACAAGAAAAUCCAGAAUGGUGCAAUUGCUGCAGAGACUCAAGGAUACAAUAGCGAAGUUUUUUGACAAAACUCAACAACCAGUCAAUUCUCUACAAACAACUACAUCUUUGGGGACUUGUUCCGUUGUUUGUAAGUUAUUCAUGAGGAUGAAAGAAUUCUGCAAAUAUCUUAUUAAUCUACAGAAGGAACUUAUUUUCAAAUUAUUGAACCAACUUCAAAGCUUAACUUCAAUUUUCCACUACAGACGAAGUCUUGCUAUUGAAAAUACUACUUGGACUGGACCAAGAGAACCAACAGAACUUAUACUACUAAAUACUGAAUCCAAGAAUACUAAAUUGAGAGAACACUCUGAGUCAGAGCGAAUGAGACAAAAUACACAACCAUAUCCUAUAUCUGAGAAUGUACUUUCAUUAAAUGUUCAAGAGACAAGGAAAACCACAGGUGAAAAUGUCCAGACUCAUCCUUCAUAGAGAAUGUUCCACUUCUUCAUUUUUUUGAAUAAAUAUGUUGCUGAACACAAUAAGAGAGCUGCCAAAUCUUCAAAAUGAAGACAACAAAAAUUACAAUAUGAAAGUAAAUCAUCUGCAGAACACACUCCUGUAAAAAACAAUGACAAUAAAUAAAUGUUCAUUUAAAAUUUGGAAA